AUUUACUUAGCGUGUAAGGAACCAGAACUUUUACUUUGAAAAAAUUAGAGUGUUCAAAGCAGGCCUUUGCUCGAAUACAUUAGCAUGGAAUAAUAGAAUAGGACGUGCGGUCCUAUUUUGUUGGUUUCUAGGACCGCCGUAAUGAUUAAUAGGGAUAGUCGGGGGCAUCAGUAUUCAAUUGUCAGAGGUGAAAUUCUUGGAUUUAUUGAAGACUAACUACUGCGAAAGCAUUUGCCAAGGAUGUUUUCAUUAAUCAGUGAACGAAAGUUAGGGGAUCGAAGACGAUCAGAUACCGUCGUAGUCUUAACCGUAAACUAUGCCGACUAGGGAUCGGGCGAUGUUAUUAUUUUGACUCGCUCGGCACCUUACGAGAAAUCGAAGUCUUUGGGUUCUGGGGGGAGUAUGGUCGCAAGGCUGAAACUUAAAGAAAUUGACGGAAGGGCGCCACCAGGCGUGGAACCUGCGGCUUAAUUUGACUCAACACGGGGAAACUCACCGGGUCCGGACAACUUUAGGAUUGACAGAUUGAGAGCUCUUUCUUGAUUAGUUGGGUGGUGGUGCAUGGCCGUUCUUAGUUGGUGGAGUGAUUUGUCUGCUUAAUUGCGAUAACGAACGAGACCUUAACCUGCUAAAUAGCCCGGCUAGCUUUUGCUGGUCGCCGGCUUCUUAGAGGGACUAUCGGCUCAAGCCGAUGGAAGUUUGAGGCAAUAACAGGUCUGUGAUGCCCUUAGAUGUCCCGGGCCGCACGCGCGUUACACUGACAGAGCCAACGAGUUCAUCACCUUGGCCGAAAGGUCUGGGUAAUCUUGUUAAACUCUGUCGUGCUGG
rnacentral:rRNA from 1 species